GGGGUUGUGGCUCAGUAGUAGAGUGCUUGCCUAGCAUGCAUGAGGCCCUGGGUUCGAUCCUCAGCACCACA
rnacentral:tRNA from 1 species